GUCUUCCGGUUUUUCAGAUGUGAAACCUUACAGCCUCCCACCGGAUCACCCCGGCUCACAAUCCCUGCACAAUAUCAGCAGAUAAUCACCAUGGAGCUGCAGAGUAAACAAAGACAGCGUCUACCAUGACGGCUAUCUAAUCAGCGACAAGACACCAGGGAUUUGUGGGGUUCAAUCAAACCCCCAUAGGCGUGACUCCCUCCCGGAACAGGAUGGGCUGCUGGGAAAUCUCGGGCAGAUGUGAGCAGAAGACACUGAUGUCUUCAUAACGAUCUCUUUUUUUUUCUUUCUCUCCUGUAAGUCAUGCUAUCUCACCCGGCACUGCCCGUCUCCCCCUCAUGCUGGAGAGACAAGCUAGAUCCGUGAACAAUCUGCUCCAUCCCGCAGGCCGCGCUCCUGUCUCUGCUCCAUAAAUCGCAGCUCUCAGGGGACAGCUGGAAAGACAAGUGGGAGUCCGAUAGAGCUGUCUGAAAAGGCCCCUGUUUCAAAUUAGGCUUGCAGGACAAAAGUCCCCACAACUCCAGAGUUCAUUUCGUACCUCCUUCCUGUGUCCCAAUUCUUCCAGCGUUGUGCACGGACACUAGAAGGUGAGACUCUGCACGUAAGCCGGUGUCACUGUGCCUGUGGUCUCCUGAUCAGCACACUGAAAGGCAGUUUACAGCCCUGUUAAAGGCGAAUAUAAAGCUCUCUCUAAAGAGGCAUAUAUUUCAUGGCCUGUGUGCUCCCACAGUUAAUGUCCCAGCUCAGCAUGAGCUCGCUGGACUUCCUCCCCUCGUUCUGCCUCUGUGCCCUGAUGGACUGAGGUCGCUGCAGAGCAGAGGUGUGUACUCCAAAUGAAAUGGAGUGCAGUGAAAUGGAGAAAUGAGACGUGGCGAGUCCAUGCAUGAACCUAAAUGAAGCAUUGAAUAUGGUUCCUGAUGCCGCAGACCAUGCAAAUGUUUGCAAUGUCACCAUAAUUGAUUGUGAUACAUCGUUCUCUGCAGUGGUAAAUAAUGUCAUCAUAUGAGAUUAAAAGUUGUUGUUUUUUA